AAGGUUAUAGCUCAGUGGUAGAGUGCUUGCUUGGCAUUCAAGAGGUCCUGGGUUUAAUCCAGUACCUCCA
rnacentral:tRNA from 1 species